CAGGUUUUUACCAUGUUGGCCAGGCUGGUCUCAAACUCCUGGCCUCAAGGAAUCCACCUGCCUCGGCCUCCCAAAGUGCUGAAAUUAUACAUGUGAGCCACCACGCCCAGCCCCAAGUACUUUUUAUAUACCAACUCAUUUAAACUUCACAGUAAUACUGAGAUGAGUAAUAUCAUCACCAUUUUACAGAUCAGAAAACUGAGGCAGAAAGCUGUUAAAUAGCCUGCCCCAUGUAGUAGAGUGAAAGACAUGAACCCAGGCUGACUCCUGCACCUAACCUCUACACUGCACUUGUCAAGGUCCUCUGAAACUACCUGACUCCUGUCUGCUGCAAGCCUUGUUCUUCAGGAGGACCUUAUUUCUGCCAGUUCCCCAACAGCCUUCCAAUAAAGUCCCUUUUUC
rnacentral:lncRNA from 1 species